rnacentral:rRNA from 1 species
GAGUUUGAUCAUGGCUCAGGAUGAACGCUGGCGGCGUGCCUAAUACAUGCAAGUCGUACGAACAGCGGAAAGUGCUUGCACUUUCCAAGUAAGUGGCGAACGGGUGAGUAACACGUGAAUAACCUACCUCAAAGUCUGGGAUAACCAUUGGAAACAGUGACUAAUACCGGAUAAAACCUAGUAGCACAUGCUACAAGGUUAAAAGCUGCGUUUGCAGCGCUUUAAGAUGGAUUCGCGGUGCAUUAGUUAGUUGGUGAGG